rnacentral:lncRNA from 1 species
CUGAGCUCUACAGCACAGAGGGGUGGGGGCGUGCAGCAGUUGGAGACGACUGUGUCCGUGGCAACACAGGACCCUUCCCACUUGAGGGGGAAGGAUAUAGGGCGCCCCCCUAAAGCCUCUGAGCCGGUGGGGAUGGGGGUAAUGGGGAUACCCAAACCAUUGGAAUUCACCUCACCCAAGCCACUUAUGCCAAAACCUCCACGCAGAAACAGAUCUCUGCCCCAGGUACCUGAAGGGAGAGCCCAGGACAGCCCAGAUGGAAGUGCCUCUUCUGGCUCUGAAAUGAGAGACAUCCCCCCUGGCCUCCAGUCUAUAUCUCCAGAGACAGAGGGAGUUAGAGAACCAUCAGAGCCUAGCAAACACAUCGCAGAUGGGAGCGAGAGCUCCAGAACCCCUGCAGAGAUUCGGUGUAACACGGAGGAGGGAGGUUUGUUAGAAGGGGGGAGGAAAUUUAGAAGGCACACAGGAAGUUGUGGUUCAGGACACUGCAACAUGGGGUGGUGGGGGUAUGCUUGGGUCGAAACGCCCGAAUAUGAAGAAAAUGAAGGGAGGAAAGCUGAGGAAAUUUACCAAGAAGAUGAUGAGCAGAUGGAAGGAGAGUCGAGAGGAGAAGAGAGGAAAUGGAGAGAUUCAGGAGGACGACGGAGGAAAAGAGGUGGAGAGCGAAAUGCCGUUAGUGAACCUCCAUCGACAUGCAUACUAAAAUGUCCGUCAUAGAGGAAGAGGAGGAGAAAGAGGAGGAGAAGAGGAGUGAUGAGGCUACACAGGAGUCACUAACGAUGGAGCAGCCCAGCCAAGCUGAGACGGAGAGGAAGCCUGUGGGACACCAUGCAUGUUUUCAGAGCUCCUUCAGCUCUUUCAAGUUCAACUUCAGUCCCAUCAGCUUGGUGGACGAGAUUCUAACAGGAGAGGAGUGGUCACCAUUCCUGUCCAUCAAGGACAGUCCCGCCCCCUCACCGUCCGUUUACCAAUCAGAGGCUGCUAGCCAACACGGUUAUGAGGAAGGCGACCAAUUAAAGACUGGACCAGAGUCCCAGCGACGUUCAACGUAACCACGAGGACAUAGGCCUUUCUUUAUACGAGGCCGUUAGCUUCAGCCAAUCAAGUCCGAAUGAGAUCAUGGACAACCAAUCGGACAACAGACAACAGGAAGUAGACAACAACAAUGACACAGGAGCUGAUGCCAUUGCUGUCAUCAAACCGAAGAUACUAUUGGACAAUGAUGCAGCGGAGGAGAGUGAGUUGGACCACUCCAGACCCAUGUCUAAGGACAUCCAUGACUCUGUUGAAUUGUGCAAGUCCCCCAUAAGGACCCAAUCAAAGGACCUUCUUGACUUCCUCUGUGUUGAGUCACUUGGAGUUCUGGACAGUUCUGCUCAGAAACAUAACAUUUGUCUGAGCAAAAAGAGAAAGCACAGACUUCCGGGGCUAAAGAAGACAAAAACAGAGACCUUCAAGAUAAGAUGCACUGCAAUCAAAGCCCCUGAAAUAAAAUUCCUCAAACCCUCUCCUCCUUCCACACUCUCCCCCACAUUACUCCCUUCUUCCUCCUCCCUCUCUUCCUCCUCUUCCUGCUCCUCUCCCUCCUAUGUCUUUCCGUCCUCUGUUUUCUACAACAUCCCUCCGUCCGCUGAAAAACAGGACCCUGUGACAUCACCGACACAGGACAUCCUCUCUGGAAAGUUCAGAGUUCAUUUGACCCCGUAACCAUUGGCAACAUUUUCAAAGACUGCAUAUUAACAUGAUGUGUCUCUGAAGUGUGUCUGAAAUGGCACCCUACUCCCUAGUGCACUAUAGGAAUAGGAUGUCAUUUCAGACAGACUGUAGCUUAUUACUGAAUGUAAUAAUGUAUAUUAGCAUCACUAACCUGGUUUCCAUCCAACCUUGUUAUGUGAGUAAAGUACAUGUCGGAUUAAACAUGUCAGGACAGGCCUGAUGGAAACAACACAUUUGGCUGUAAACUUUCCAAAUGUCGACAAAACAAAAUACGCCAGGCAAGGUGGGAUCUUUCUGUGUCGGUAAAAUGAAUUAUGCGAGAAAUGGCGGUGGAAACACCUUUAUGCGCAGAUAUUGAUAUAAUAACCAUCAUAUCGAAGUCAACUUGGAUUCAGGUGAUAUGGUGUGUGGUCCUCCCACUACGACUCGGGAAAGGCUACAGUUUAUUAGGCUAGAGGUGAAAUAAGUUAUGAUGAACUUUACAGGGUGGUGAAAGAUGAGACUGAUCUCUCUCUCUCUCUCUCUCUCUCUCUCUCUCUCU